UUAAGUUCAGCGGGUAGUCCCACCCGAUUUGAGGUCAAAUUGUCAGAGAUUGUCCGAAGACGGUUUGAAGCAUAGAGCUUACUCUGCAAUGCAGUCUUGCGACUUGGCUCUGGUGAAAUGUUUAUUACACCGGAUACAUUGCAAAAGCAAGGUACACUCAGGCAUUUGAGACGAGCCGUAAUAACACGGCAACAUCCAAG
rnacentral:misc_RNA from 1 species